UUAGCGGCGGACGGGUGAGUAACACGUAGGCAACCUGCCCUCAAGCUUGGGACAACUACCGGAAACGGUAGCUAAUACCGAAUACUUGCUUCCUUCGCCUGAAGGGAGCUGGAAAGACGGAGCAAUCUGUCACUUGAGGAUGGGCCUGCGGCGCAUUAGCUAGUUGGUGAGGUAACGGCUCACCAAGGCGACGAUGCGUAGCCGACCUGAGAGGGUGAUCGGCCACACUGGGA
rnacentral:rRNA from 1 species